rnacentral:rRNA from 1 species
UGGGGAAUAUUGCACAAUGGGCGCAAGCCUGAUGCAGCCAUGCCGCGUGCAUGAAGAAGGCCUUCGGGUUGUAAAGUACUUUCAGCGGGGAGGAAGGUGUUGAGGUUAAUAACCUCAGCAAUUGACGUUACCCGCAGAAGAAGCACCGGCUAACUCCGUGCCAGCAGCCGCGGUAAUACGGAGGGUGCAAGCGUUAAUCGGAAUUACUGGGCGUAAAGCGCACGCAGGCGGUCUGUCAAGUCGGAUGUGAAAUCCCCGGGCUCAACCUGGGAACUGCAUUCGAAACUGGCAGGCUAGAGUCUUGUAGAGGGGGGUAGAAUUCCAGGUGUAGCGGUGAAAUGCGUAGAGAUCUGGAGGAAUACCGGUGGCGAAGGCGGCCCCCUGGACAAAGACUGACGCUCAGGUGCGAAAGCGUGGGGAGCAAACA